CAGCAGCCGCGGUAAUACGUAGGGUGCAAGCGUUAAUCGGAAUUACUGGGCGUAAAGCGUGCGCAGGCGGUUCUAUAAGACAGAUGUGAAAUCCCCGGGCUCAACCUGGGAACUGCAUUUGUGACUGCAGAGCUGGAGUGCGGCAGAGGGGGAUGGAAUUCCGCGUGUAGCAGUGAAAUGCGUAGAUAUGCGGAGGAACACCGAUGGCGAAGGCAAUCCCCUGGGCCUGCACUGACGCUCAUGCACGAAAGCGUGGGGAGCAAACAGGAUUAGAUACCCCAGUAGUCCCUGUCUCUUAUAC
rnacentral:rRNA from 1 species